AUGCGGGGGGAGGGUUUCAAAAAGUUUCUUGGGGGAGCUGGCAUGUGAACUGGGGCUUGAAGGGCAGACAGGAACGGUCUGGCAGUGAAGCGUGCUGGGCAAAGGAAGAGCUGUGCCAGGUAGUACAGUGCCCUCUGUGAAAGAACAAUGGGCCUGGUCAGGAUGCAUUUUGGAAAGUGUGAGAGAUGAGGCCAGCAAGCAAGUUAAGGGCUGGCCUCCAAGGAUCAAAUAAGCCAUGCUUUGCCUUCUCUGCAAAGGAAAGUUAGAAAAGGAGUUUAUCCGUGUUGUAGACAGAGCAGUCUGGCAGCAUGUCAGAGCACAACUCAGAGGAAGGAAAGUCUGAUGAUGAUGAAGAAACUGAGGCACGGACGUCACAGAAUUAGUCCAAGGUCACACAGCUGGUAUGUGGCAAAACAACUUUAAACAGAUGAUUAAAGUAAGACAGAAGCAAUCUGGGCAAAGGACCAAAACCUCACUCCGCUGAGUUUUACUGAAGAGAGGUAAAAUUUCCUAAUAGUUCAAAGUAAUGGAACAGAGUGGGGGAAGGGGAAGGCAAAGACAUUCAUUUUAAUUCCUCACAGGAAGGAAGUUAGAAACAAACAGUAUGACCUGGAGAUCUGGCUCCCGAAGCAGGGCAGUUUCUCCCAUGCUAACCUGGGAUGACUCCCCAAGGACAUCCCUUCCCUAUGUAGCCUGUGGGGUCUCUCCUGCCCUCACCACUGCCGGCCCCGAACUUCACUGCCUGUCUCUAUUGCCUCACGCCUCCAGAAAUGUUGCCCAUUAACCUGGAAUGUUCCCCUUACCACCUCCUGAUCUUAACUUGUCAAAUGCCUGCUAGCCUCUGUAGUAUACAGAUUACAGAAACCACCCAAAACUUCUGCAUUGGAAUCUUAAGCUAUAUUUUUCACAGCACCCAGAUGAUACCUAUGCUAGAGGCUUUCUCAUCUAUCUGUGUCGGAGAAUCAUUAACCCUAAUUCAUUAACUUUAAAGAGACAAGAACACAGAUCCAAUACAAGGAGACCUGACUAUUGUCAAGCUAAGGUUGUUUUUGCCUCUAGCAAAGCAGUAACAUUAAGACAGUUGGGAGUUUUCCUGGAGGAGUGUUAUACUCUGUCUGCCUCAAGUAUUUGUCAAACGGGCUGCAGGUUAUAAUGAAAUUCAAUUUUAUCGACGUUUCCUGCCUUUGUUCCCCACAUCACCUAUGCCAGAGGCUUUCUCAUCCAUCGACGUCUGAGAAUCACUGAUCUUAAUUUAUUAACUUAAAAGAGAUAGGAACACCUAUGAUAUUUAAGCGCAGAUCCAAUACAAGAAGACAUGGAUGGGUUCCCAGACAUGUCUCUGCAGACGUCUGAUACAAGUAAGGGGUGGCGUGAGGAUGAGGCCAAAAAGCUGACCUAGUCUCUGCAGGACAGAACACACACUCUAGCCUUAUCAAAACACCAUAGCAGGCUUCGACUCCUUUAUGACUGCUGGCUUCUAUUUAGCUGGACUUUGGGGAAAAACACAACCUUGUGGGUAGAUCCUUCCACCAGAAUUAACCUUCACCUACCUUCCUCUCUCCUUCCCCCCCCCCACCUCUACCAAAAUGAAAUGCCUUUCAAUUAUGAGACCGUAUGAAAGGACUUACGGAACAGUAAGCCUCACAUAUCUCUCAGAUACUUUCAAUGGUGUGAUCACAUACUGAAAAACUUGCUUUAGCAGGAUACCUCCCUAAAGAGAACACUGAGCAAAACCCACCCUAGGGUUUUGCUGCCUGGAACCCUUUCACAAACAGCUUGUUUGCCAGCUGAGUUAUAAGCGCUCAUUCAAGUUCAAAUUUGUGACCUUUAUGGCCACUAAAUAAAAGCAAUAAAGCAACCUAUUUAGAGAAAGGCAACGUGCAUUUCUAAGGAUUUCCUUUCUCCCCCCACAAGAGAAACAAGAUGCCAAAGUUACAUCCUCCAUAUGUAUCCUCCACAAUUCACUGCAAUUAGGCCAGUAAUGAAAAAAACACCUCUGACCCAAUAUUACAGGCUUAAUGUACUGUUAUUUUCCUUCUAAAUAGACUCUUACUCAGAUGUGUACAUUAGACUGAUGACAACGUUCAUGAGUUUUCCCAGUCCCUGAUUUAAGACUUGAAGGCAGUAAAAUCAACAACAACAACAAAAAAUUAAACAAUUUGUUUGGGAGCAUUUUUAAAUUGAGACUAUUAACACUGUCUCCAACAUCUCAUUUUGAAGUAACUGCAGCAUAUACAUAAUGGGUGUUAAUUUGGGGGACACACAGGACUUCUAGACUUAUUACAAUAAAUUUAAAUCAACCAAAAGUGUUGGCAGAUCCAGCUCCCCAGACCUGAUAUGCCAUCUCCAAGUCUCCACAUGUUUGGGGAACAGGUGCUUAUCAAAUGGAGACACCAAACUAUCUGAUGAUCAAGUUCUUUUCAGCUCAAACUUUCUAUAAUUCAGUGAUACAUAUUACCACUGUGGCUAAGUGGGUUUAUUACUCUGUCCUUCUGUGUGACCCUACUUUGUCAUGUUCUGUGUGACCUAGCAUUUGCCACAUAAGAGAACUUCUGAGGAGCAUUCACUAGUGAAUGGAACACUCUCCAUUUUUACUCAUUAAUCCAUUUGUGAAUGAGCUGAUUCAUGCAUUAACUCUCCUGCCUGCUCAAUCAAUCGCUCAGUAGGCAUUCCUAAACCACAGGAUGCCAUACAGGACUGACAGGUAAGGAACACAAACACACAAUCCAACAGGAGACCAAGAUGAAGGUACGUAAGCAAGUAACUUCAAUACCAGGAGUGGCAGAAGAAACAGGACACCCUUGUGUUGCCCAAUAUGCUAGUCACUAGUCACAUGGGGCUACUGAGCACCUGACAUGAGACUGGUCAAACUGAGAUGGGCUCUAAGUAUAAAAUACACAGUGGAUUUCAAAGGCUUUGUAUGAAAAAAAAAAAAUGUAAAAUA